UAAAAAGUUACUCAAGCGCACACAAUGGAUGCCUUGACGUAAGAUACCGAUGAAGGACGUAGAAAACUGCGAUAAGCUUCGGGGAGCUGUUAAUCAAGCUUUGAACCGAAGAUUUCCGAAUGGGGAAACCUUUAUAGAGUAAUGUCUAUAAGCGCCAGCCUGAAUAUAUAGGGCAGGAGAGCGGUAACCGGGGGAACUGAAACAUCUUAGUACCUCGAGGAAGAGAAAAUAACCAAUGAUUCCGCUAGUAGUGGCGAGCGAACGUGGAAGAGCCCAAACCUUUUAGGUUUUUGCCUGGUAAUUUAUUACUAGGUAAAUAAGUUGACAGACGAAUAUCUAAA
rnacentral:rRNA from 1 species